AUUGAACGCUGGCGGCAGGCCUAACACAUGCAAGUCGAACGAGUAGCGGACGGGUGGGUCAUGUACGAGAAACUGCCUAAAGUAAGGGGAUAACUCCGGGAAACGGUAGAUAAUACCGCUUACAGUGAGCUGUGACCCGAUGGGAUUAGCGCAUAGGUGGGGUAAAGGCUCACCUUGGCUACAAUCACUAGCUGGACUGCGAGGAUGACCAGCAACACUGGAACUGAGACACGGUCCAGACUCCUACGGGAGGCAGCAGUGGGGAAUAUUGCACGAUGGGCGCAAGCCUGAUGCAGCCAUGCCGCGUGUAUGAAGAAGGCCUUCGGGUUGUAAAGGACUUUCAGCGGGGAGGCGUUACCCGCAGAAGAAGCACCGGCUAACUCCGUGCCAGCCGCCGCGGUAAUUC
rnacentral:rRNA from 1 species